GACUAAGUACAUGCACUUGGACUUAGUAAUUCUUCUUUUUUUAAAAAUUUUUUAAAAAUAUUUUUUAUUACAUAUUUUCCUCAAUUACAUUUCCAAUGCUAUCCCAAAAGUCCCCCAUAACCCCCCCCCCGGACUUAGUAAUUCUAAGUCCUCAUUUUAUUACUAACGGAUGCUAAAACGAAUCAUGACCCAUGUGAAAGGACCUAACAUACACAUUACCAGAUUGUCUCAUAAUGCAAGUGCUCAAUACAUGCCAACUAUCACUGUUGUUCCUGUUUAACUGCAUGGCAAGCUUCGGGCAGGAAUGAUGGUCUGUUUCUUAGUGUUUGUCAUAGGAAACUAGGCUUAAUGAGCUUCAGAAAAAGUUUGACUUAGCCAUUUAGAAAGACACAAAGGAUUCUUAGGGACUGGAGAUAUAGCACAGUAGUUUAGAGCACUGUCGAAACUACUCUUCCAGAGGACCCAAGUUCAAUUCCCAGCACUCACACGGCAUCUAACAACUGUCUGUGACUACAGUUCUAGGUGAUUUGACAAUAUUCUGGCCUCUGUGGGCACUGCAUGCACAUGGUGCAUAGACAUACACUCACGAAAAACACCCAUAUAAAUGAGAUUAAGUAAAAUAAAGUAAGAAAGAAGGAUUUUUCACUGACCAUUUCCAACAGAAGAGAUCGGUGUCAUUUUAAAGCCGGGAGGACUCACCUUGGGGGAAAGAGCUUGUGCUGUUCCCGGGCAUCAGCAGAUACCUUCUGCCUAUUCAGCAGGUAACCAGUGGUCAGGGCACUGGUUCCCAGUGUAGUAAACAGCAGAGAUGCAUUUCGGCCAGUUAGCAACUUUGAGAAGGCACUGGCCAUCCUUCUUCUUGGUUAAGUGUCUAUUUAGGAAAAAAGCCAUAUCAGAUAGCAUCAUAAGACAGUUCUGAACCCAGCAUGGAGGGCUCCAGGUGAUUAAAACAAUGUGCUUGUGUUAUUUAUCUACUUCAGGUUUUGUGAAUGCUCAUUCCAUUUUCUCUAGGAAUUAUAGUGAAAAGUCAACAAAAGUUAUAUAUUUCUAAAUAUUAGACAAAGUGAGUGCAUUUUGGACUUUACAACUACGCAACCAGACUCUGAAUAGGAUGGAUUUCUGGAUUUCUGAGAGGUAUCAAAAUUCUCUGAGGACCAUUGUUUCACUAUACAUACCUUCAUACAAACUGUGUCAGAGCUCAAAGUACCACACAAACACAUUUGGGUUAUUAAGAGCAAAUGUCCUUCUGACUUGAAAGGUUGAGGUGCCAGCAGUAUGUGCAUGUGUGGGGUAGGGGGUGAUGUUCAGAACUUUUGCUCUGGUUUAGGGGUCCUGAGAGGGGAUCAAGUUGUUCAAAAUUAACAAAAUUCAUUCCUUGGCUCCUAGCAGAAGCAGACUCAAAAUCUUUCUUAAAAAUAUCAUGUUUAGCUUAGGUUUUGGAUUCUUGCAGAUUAAGACUAAAUAGCAAAAUCCCAACUAAAGACUACCAACCAUAUAAAAAGAUAUAAAUAAGAAUACAAAAAGAAUACUUAGGGCUUCUAUGACUGAAGAUUGUAAGAUUGCCAGACAAGGGCAUAGACUGGCUCUAGAUAGAUGUUUAAGUAACAAAGUUAUUUAUAAAUUAUUACAUUAUUGAAAUUUAUUAUGAGAAUCAUACUUAUGAGAAAGCAACAAAAGACUAUUAGGAAUGGCCAAAUGAUCCAAGCAUGUUGGUCCACAUGUAUCAUUCUAGCACUUAGGAGUAGGAGGUAGGAGAACUGCUUUAUGUUUGAGGCCAACCUGCUCUGAAUAGUGAAUUUUAGGAUAAUGUGAUGAAAUCCUUUCUAAACACACAAACC
rnacentral:lncRNA from 1 species